rnacentral:rRNA from 1 species
AACGAACGCUGGCGGCGUGCCUAACACAUGCAAGUCGAACGAGAAAGGGGCUUCGGCUCCGAGUAAAGUGGCGCACGGGUGAGUAACACGUGGGUAACCUGCCUCUAAGAUUGGGAUAACUCGUCGAAAGAUGAGCUAAUACCGAAUAAGACCACAGUUCCCGCGGGAACAGGGGUCAAAGGUAGCCUCUGCUUGCAAGCUAUCACUUAGAGAUGGGCCUGCGCACCAUUAGCUAGUUGGUAGGGUAACGGCCUACCAAGGCAAAGAUGGUUAGCUGGUCUGCGAGGAUGAUCAGCCAACCUGGGACUGAGACACGGUCCAGACUCCUACGGGAGGCAGCAGUGGGGAAUAUUGCGCAAUGGGCGAAAGCUUGACGCAGCAACGCCGCGUGAGUGAUGAAGGCCUUCGGGUCGUAAAGCUCUGUCGGGAGGAACGAAUGCUCCUGAGGUUAACAGCCUCGGGAGGUGACGGUACCUUCAAAGGAAGCACCGGCUAACUCUGUG